UAGCUCGGUCGGUUGAGCGUGGUGCUGAUACCACCAAGGUCGCGGGUUUGAUCCCCGU
rnacentral:tRNA from 1 species